rnacentral:rRNA from 1 species
AGGACGAACGCUGGCGGCGUGCCUAACACAUGCAAGUCGAGCGAGGAGAUCCUUCGGGAUGAUCCUAGCGGCGGACGGGUGAGUAACACGUGGGCAACCUGCCUCAUAGAGAGGAAUAGCCUUCCGAAAGGGAGAUUAAUACCUCAUAACAUUGCAGUUUCGCAUGGAACAGCAAUUAAAGGAGCAAUCCACUAUGAGAUGGGCCCGCGGCGCAUUAGCUAGUUGGUGAGGUAACGGCUCACCAAGGCGACGAUGCGUAGCCGACCUGAGAGGGUGAUCGGCCACAUUGGGACUGAGACACGGCCCAGACUCCUACGGGAGGCAGCAGUGGGGAAUAUUGCACAAUGGGGGAAACCCUGAUGCAAGCAACGCCGCGUGAGUGAUGACGGCCUUCGGGUUGUAAAGCUCUGUCUUCAGGGACGAUAAUGACGGUACCUGAGGAGGAAGCCACGGCUAACUACGUGCCAGCAGCCGC